AAUGAACGCUGGCGGCGUGGAUAAGACAUGCAAGUCGAACGGAGUUAGCAAUAAGCUUGCUUAAGGCAAACUCAGUGGCGAACGGGUGAGUAACACGUGAAUAAUCUGCCUUGAAGUGGGGGAUAGCCCUGGGAAACUAGGAUUAAUACCGCAUGUGGUCGAGAGACUAAAGCAGCAGUGCGCUUUAAGAUGAGUUCACGUCCUAUUAGCUAGUUGGUGAGGUAACUGCUCACCAAGGCCUUGAUAGGUAGCCGGUCUGAGAGGAUGUCCGGCCACACUGGAACUGAGACACGGUCCAGACACCUACGGGUGGCAGCAGUCGAGAAUCAUUCACAAUGGGGGCAACCCUGAUGGUGCGACGCCGCGUGGGGGAAGAAUGUCUUCGGAUUGUAAACCCCUGUCAAGUGGGAGUAAGCUAGUGAUAGUUGAUAGUACCACAAGAGGAAGAGACGGCAAACUCUGUGCCAGCCGCCGCAGUAA
rnacentral:rRNA from 1 species